CAGUCGCCGCGGUAAUACGAAGGGUGCAAGCGUUACUCGGAAUUACUGGGCGUAAAGCGUGCGUAGGUGGUGGUUUAAGUCCGUUGUGAAAGCCCUGGGCUCAACCUGGGAAUUGCAGUGGAUACUGGGUCACUAGAGUGUGGUAGAGGAUAGUGGAAUUUCCGGUGUAGCAGUGAAAUGCGUAGAGAUCGGAAGGAACAUCUGUGGCGAAGGCGACUAUCUGGGCCAACACUGACACUGAGGCACGAAAGCGUGGGGAGCAAACAGGAUUAGAUACCCCUGUAGUCCCUGUCUCUUAUAC
rnacentral:rRNA from 1 species